GAUGAACGCUGGCGGUCUGCUUAACACAUGCAAGUCGAACGGAAUCCCUCGGGAUUUAGUGGCGGACGGGUGAGUAACACGUAAGAACCUGCCUCUAGGACGGGGAUAACAGUUGGAAACGACUGCUAAACCCGGAUGAGCCGAAAGGUAAAAGAUUUAUCGCCUAGAGAGGGGCUUGCGUCUGAUUAGCUAGUUGGUAAGGUAAAGGCUUACCAAGGCGACGAUCAGUAGCUGGUCUGAGAGGAUGAUCAGCCACACUGGGACUGAGACACGGCCCAGACUCCUACGGGAGNCAGCAGUGGGGAAUUUUCCGCAAUGGGCGAAAGCCUGACGGAGCAAGACCGCGUGGGGGAGGAAGGUUCUUGGAUUGUCAACCCCUUUUCUCAGGGAAGAACAAAAUGACGGUACCUGAGGAAAAAGCAUCGGCUAACUCCGUGCCAGCCGCCGCAGUAACA
rnacentral:rRNA from 1 species